GCCGCCAUGGUGAAAUUGGUAGACCACGCUGCUCUUAGGAAGCAGUGCUCAAGCAUCUCGGUUCGAAUCCGAGUGGCGGCA